UACGUAGGGUGCAAGCGUUGUCCGGAAUUAUUGGGCGUAAAGAGCUCGUAGGCGGUCUGUUACGUCGGCUGUGAAAACCUGGGGCUCAACCCCGGGCCUGCAGCCGAUACGGGCAGACUAGAGUUCGGCAGGGGAGACUGGAAUUCCUGGUGUAGCGGUGAAAUGCGUAGAUAUCGAGAGGAACACCUGCGGCGAAGGCGGGUUGCUGGGCUGACACUGACGCUGAUGCGCGAAAGCCAGGGGAGCGAACGGG
rnacentral:rRNA from 1 species